GAUUAGGAUUUGGUUUAGGUUUAGGAUUUGAUUUAGGAUUUAGAAUUUGGUUAGGGUUUGGUUUAGGGUUUGGUUAGGAUUUGAUUUAGAGAUUGAUUAGGAUUUGGUUUAGGGUUUAGGAUUUAAUUUAGGAUUUAGGGUUUGAUUUAGGAUUUGUUUAGAAUUUGGAUAGAAUUUGGUUUAGGAUUUGGUUAGGAUUUGGUUUAGAAUUUAGGGUUUUAUUUAGGAUUUAGGAUUUUAUUAGGAUUUAUUUAGGAUUUAAGAUUUAAUUAGUUUUGGCCUAAAGUUUGAAUGAAGUCCAAUAGGAUUUUAACUAAGAUUAAAUUAAGAUUGAAUUGAGAUGUAUUUGAGAGAUAUUUGUGAUCAUUCUAAUAUUUCUUUAA
rnacentral:lncRNA from 1 species